GUUUACUACCUGAUAGAAGGAAGAACAAAUGGACAUGGCGACUCGUUCGUUCAGUGUUGUAUUUAAUUUAAUUCAAUUCAAUUCAAAAUUGUCGCGAACCGAUUUAAAUGACUUUUGCCCUAAUAACUUGUUGUCGAGUGACCAUUUAGAGUAUUUGUAGUGAUGGUCUCAUUAUAGCGGUCUUAUUGAAUAUGAUAACUACAAAAUUAUCGAAAAAAAAUGAAUUUUCGGGCUGCCAUAUGGAAUAGAAUUGACCAAAUUCUCGAUCGUGUAUUUACUAUAGCGCGUUAUACAUGGUUGGAUAUUCUAGCAUUUGGGGUCGAUACGGAUGACUUUCAUACUUUAUCUUACCCGGGUUAUACAUAUAUAGGUUAAAUAUCAAGAUUCAUUCCAAUAGAUUUCCAAAUGGAGGCGUGAAGUUGAUUUGCACGGACAGUCGGACGGACGGACAUGGCUAUAUGACUCAGCUUUUCAUGCUGAUCAAGAAUUCAUUAUGGGCCGACACCAUCGUCUCCUUCUCUACGUUAAAAACAUCUCACUAAUUUCAAACACUCCUAGUAAGAGUAGCAAAAUAAACUUCAUUUUCCUUUAUGUAAAUAUUAAUCUGCAAUAAAAAUUUAUGAAAAUUCUUGAAA